GGGUAUAGCUCAGUGGUAGAGUGUGUGCCUAGCAUGCAUGAAUUCCUGGGUUCAAUCCUCAGUACCUCCA
rnacentral:tRNA from 1 species